GAUGAAGAACGUAGCGAAAUGCGAUAAGUAAUGUGAAUUGCAGAAUUCAGUGAACCAUCGAAUCUUUGAACGCACAUUGCGCCCGGCAGUAAUCUGCCGGGCAUGCCUGUCCGAGCGUCAUUUCUGCCCUCGAGCGAGUCCAGCAUCUAGGUGCUGGGCCCGCCCGGCGUUGGGGCACUACGGGAAGCCCUGUGCUGUCCCCCGUAGGCCCCGAAAUGAAGUGGCGGUCCCGCCGCGGCGCCCCCUGCGUAGUAUAACAGCUCGCUUCGGGACCCGGUGGAGGCCUGCCGUCAAACCUUACUCUCUAAGUUUGACCUCGGAUCAGGUAGGGUUACCCGCUGAACUUAAGCAUAUCAAUAAGCGGAGGA
rnacentral:misc_RNA from 1 species